GGAUUUGUCGGUUGGUCGGGCUUCACUGUCCGCACUGGCCUGAUGGAUUCCUACCUUCUGAAGAACCGCGAUGUCAUUAAUUUGGUGUCGUGGGGAAUCAGGACUGUUACUUUGAAAAAAUUAGAGUGUUUAAAGCAGGCUUACGCUUGAAUACAUUAGCAUGGAAUAAUGAAAUAGGACGUUUGAUUCUAUUUUGUUGGUUUCUAGGAUUGACGUA
rnacentral:rRNA from 1 species